GACAGAGGGUGCUAGCGUUGUUCGGAAUUACUGGGCGUAAAGGGCGCGUAGGCGGUCCGCUAAGUUCGGCGUGAAAUCCCCUGGCUCAACUGGGGAACUGCGCUGGAUACUGGUGGACUUGAGUACCGGAGAGGAGAGUGGAAUUCCUGGUGUAGCGGUGAAAUGCGUAGAUAUCAGGAGGAACACCGGUGGCGAAGGCGGCUCUCUGGACGGAUACUGACGCAGAGGCGCGAAAGCGUGGGGAUCAAACAGG
rnacentral:rRNA from 1 species